ACAAACACUUUCCUGCAUAUAGUUGGUUCGCUUGAAUCUGGUCUGAAAGGUCUAGAUGGUGGUAUAUCCUCACAGUGUGCAUCAGCAAUUGACAAUCUAGCUUCUUACUAUUUCAACAACAUACCAUGGGUGAAGCACCCACUUCAUCAGCUGCAGUUAGUCUGGCAAGGCAUGUUUCAGAAUGUCCCACUAUGUUCCCAGAGAUACUCAAGACCCUCUUUGAGAUAGUUUUGUU